rnacentral:lncRNA from 1 species
UAUUACUAAAAAUAAUGAUAGAACAUUAUUCUAACUUGUCAAAAAUGUUUAAUUUUUCAUAAACAGAUAUCGAAACAUCUUGCCAAGACUCUCAAAGCAGAAGAUUGUUAUUAAGCGAAAUCUUCCUGAUUGAUGAAAAACCAGUGUUGUAUUUGGGUAAGCUUGUGACAAUGACUCCAAAGAUCAUCCAGAACCUUCACACCAAGGAGGGAUUGGCUAACCAUGGACUGAAAGAAGGGGACAACUGGAUGAGGAGCUGGUAAAGCCAGAAAAUCUCACUGAUCUGAUAUCCUGUCCAGUCUCCUGGGAGAAAGCACCCGCUAGGACCUCUAUAUGAUUAGCAAGGAUAAAAGCGAUGAGAAGCUUUCAAGAAUGUUCUUUCAUCCUGACUAUACACACCAAGACCAGCUCCAAAACUCUCCACAGAAUAUCUGGUUAAGUAAUGCCUACAGUAGAGUAAGUCUCCAUCACAGUCAGCACCCUAUUGCAGCCAGCCCCCUGGAGCUUCUGGUAGACCUGCAACAAACUCCUCUUGUCAGAUGUGCAUUGGUAAAUGUCCCAGGAAAUUUUAUCAUCAGCAGUUUUCAAGCGGUUUAUUCACCUGUUGACAUUGAGAGAGAUUUUUUUAAAUUACGUUAGUGGUUACAGUAGGUGCAAACGGG